rnacentral:rRNA from 1 species
AUUGAACGCUGGCGGCAGGCUUAACACAUGCAAGUCGAGCGGGGAGAUGUAGCUUGCUACAUUUCCUAGCGGCGGACGGGUGAGUAAUGCUUAGGAAUCUGCCUAGUAGUGGGGGACAACAUUCGGAAAGGAAUGCUAAUACCGCAUAUGCCCUACGGGGGGAGGCAGGGGAUCUUCGGACCUAGCGCGACUAGAAGAGCCUAAGUCAGAUUAGCUAGUUGGUGGGGUAAAGGCCUACGAAGGCGACGAUCUGUAGCGGGUCUGAGAGGAUGAUCCGCCACACUGGGACUGAGACACGGCCCAGACUCCUACGGGAGGCAGCAGUGGGGAAUAUUGGACAAUGGGCGAAAGCCUGAUCCAGCCAUGCCGCGUGUGUGAAGAAGGCCUUUUGGUUGUAAAGCACUUUAAGCGAGGAGGAGGCUACUUGGAUUAAUACUCUAGGAUAGUGGACGUUACUCGCAGAAUAAGCACCGGCUAACUCUGUGCCAGCCGCCGCCGUAA